ACCUGGGUGGCUCAGUUGGUUGAGCGUCCGACUCCGGCUCAGAUCAUGAUCUCACGGUUUGUGAGUUCCAACCCCACCUCGGGUU
rnacentral:tRNA from 1 species